rnacentral:ncRNA from 1 species
GUUUUUGCAUACAGGCAGAAAAUAAUAGGGAAUCAGGUGAAAAUCCUGAACGAUCCGGUCACUGUAUUUGGCGAGCAUUUUUUCAAUAUACCAUUGCGAAAGUGAGAAGGUGAGGAAAUGCGUUUGAACCAUAAGUCAGGAAACCUGCAUCAUGU